UCCCACUGACUCAGAUGCUGAGGGGCCAGA
rnacentral:piRNA from 1 species